CCUGGAGCAAGCACAUCUGCCACUGUUUGGGGAGAGAGAACCUGUGGUAUGUUGUAUACCAAGUGAAACACAAAGUCUUUGGGAUAACGCAGUUUGUUUGGGGUGAUCGAUACAGACUGGGGCACUUCAGCAAAGAAUGGCUCUGCGUGCAGCCUGCAGUGGUAAGUGGCGCAGCGCUGAACACCACUGGACUCCUGGUUUGAAGUUUGAUAUUCUAUACGUGGCUCAGUUUUCGCCAUUUGUGCAAUUUGUUUUUCUU